GACGAACGCUGGCGGCGUGCUUAACACAUGCAAGUCGAACGCUGAAGCUCAGCUUUUGUUGGGUGGAUGAGUGGCGAACGGGUGAGUAACACGUGAGUAACCUGCCCCCUUCUUUGGGAUAACGCCCGGAAACGGGUGCUAAUACUGGAUAUUCACUGGUCUUCGCAUGGGGGUUGGUGGAAAGGGUUUUUCUGGUGGGGGAUGGGCUCGCGGCCUAUCAGCUUGUUGGUGGGGUGAUGGCCUACCAAGGCUUUGACGGGUAGCCGGCCUGAGAGGGUGACCGGUCACAUUGGGACUGAGAUACGGCCCAGACUACUACGGGAGGCAGCAGUGGGGAAUAUUGCACAAUGGGCGCAAGCCUGAUGCAGCGACGCCGCGUGAGGGAUGGAGGCCUUCGGGUUGUGAACCUCUUUCGCUAAUGGUCAAGCCGCAACAAUGGUUGUGGUGAGGGUAGUGGGUAAAGAAGCGCCGGCUAACUACGUG
rnacentral:rRNA from 1 species